GCGAGUCUUGUCGCAACAGUCCACUUAGCGAUCGCACUUCGAGGAGAAUAAUACACCUUCCGCAAAGCCCGGGAGGACACUCUCGCGAUAAGAUUAGAGAACCCGCGGCGAUAUAAGUUUUCACGAUACGUUUCCUUCGUCUUAUAAGGCGCGGGAUUUUCGGUCGGACAGACUCUCGGUUCGCCUCUGCGGGUGCGAGGCAUCGACCCCGUACGGAUUAUUCAAUCAGGAAUAAAAGAUCGGUUCUCGCGCGUAAGAGAGUUCACAAUUGCCAACAAUGAGACGUCUACUGCUACUGGUGCUUGUUCUGGCGACUUGCUGGGCAGACAAUCCCAUUUUGGAUCCCAUUCUGAACGACGUACCUCCGCAACUCACUCAAGCCGUAUCUGGCGAUUACAGAUUGCCAGAAGAUAUCAAGCCUCUUAAAUACAUCAUCAAAUUGACACCGACCUUC